UGCAGUCGAACGGCAGCACAGAGGAGCUUGCUCCUUGGGUGGCGAGUGGCGGACGGGUGAGGAAUACAUCGGAAUCUACUCUGUCGUGGGGGAUAACGUAGGGAAACUUACGCUAAUACCGCAUACGACCUACGGGUGAAAGCAGGGGAUCUUCGGACCUUGCGCUAAUAGAUGAGCCUAAGUCGGAUUAGCUAGUUGGUGGGGUAAAGGCCUACCAAGGCGACGAUCUGUAGCGGGUCUGAGAGGAUGAUCCGCCACACUGGGACUGAGACACGGCCCAGACUCCUACGGGAGGCAGCAGUGGGGAAUAUUGCACAAUGGGCGCAAGCCUGAUGCAGCCAUGCCGCGUGUAUGAAGAAGGCCUUCGGGUUGUAAAGUACUUUCAGCAGUGAGGAAGGCGGGUGUGUUAAUAGCACAUUCGUUUGACGUUAGCUGCAGAAGAAGCACCGGCUAACUCCGUGCCAGCAGCCGCGGUAAU
rnacentral:rRNA from 1 species